GUGAGAUCAGUUUCCCAAACAUUCCAAUCUUAAGACUCGCAUGGGGUAAUUAUGAAGACUGCUCCUUCAGAACCACUGUACCAGAAUCUUCAGGCAGCCCUAGAAAUCUGAAACCAGGUCUAACCAUGAGAAUUUCACACUGCUAUCCUCAAGACUACUCCUACAUGGCCAACUCUGAAGAAAUCCUGGAGCCUGCGAAUGUGACUGUCUACCUUCCAGACUGGUCACUACGAAGUAUCUGGGGAUAAAGACAAAGGUCUGAGAACAGAAGGCCAGGGAAAUAGGGAGCAGCUGCCGCCUGAUCUUAUGAAUGCCCUCGGCUCGUUCCCCAUCUUCCUCCUUAUUGUUUCAAGCUCCUUUUCUCAACAACCUCUAAGCCCCAGCUCGUGGGAAGAAAUAACAAAGAAAAGCAGCCUUCACUGUGUCAACACCCACUGUGGCUGAAGCAUCUACAUCACUUCUCUGAGGUGAUGCAAUUAGAACUUAAAAUAGUUUUCAAUCAGCAGUGUCUGAGUUCUGCUCUCUCCCUACCUCCUGCAGGUUUCGUGGGAAGAAGCAGCCUCCAUUGGUUUUCUGGAGCAUGAGCGAGGCCACCGUCUUCAGUGUUUUCCAGCUACCAGGAACUAUUUGUGAUUUCUCCAACAGGUCUCUUUGAACUCCUUUUACUAGGCUUGGGGCUAGAGAGUAGCAGCUAGCUCUCUUCCAAUGGAGAGUAGAGCCAGGCAACAGCUCUCAUCACCAUCUCUUCAUGUU